GGCGGCAGGAAGAGAAGCGGAGCUGGAGCGGGCUGAUCCCAUUUGCUGCGGCGCCUACAGUCACUUCCACCCGAAGACUCGGCUCAGCCGGGAUGGCUCUGCCUCUGCCUUCUCCUUGGCUCGCCCUUCUAGGACGCUCGGCGUUCCUCCCUUCCCUCUCGCACCGCGGCCGCGGCCUCUUUCCGGGCGCCCGAGGCCCGCUCCACAUUCUCUCCAGAACCCCGGCCUCGGCGUCCGGACGCGUCCCACUAGACGGGCCGUCCGGCCCACUCGUCGCCUCGCCGGCCUCCCUGCCCCGGGCCCGUGCUCGCCGCCCCCUGCCUGGCCCGUGAAGCCCUUACCCGCCAGCGGCAGGAUGUGUCGCGCUCCCUGCGGACAUGGCGGCCUGCUCUAGUCAACCACCCGCCAACUACCCACCACCGCCCUCCCGCCACUUCCGCCCAACGCGCUGACGCACGGCCUCUUCCGGCCGUGAGGUAGGGCGGUUCCGCUGAGGACUCUGGAUUCCGAUUGGACCCUCGGGGAUUUAAAGCGGCCGGCGUCUCGGUGACAGGAGUGCCGGUCGACUCUCCGGCUUGCUCCCUCGCCCUUAAUAAAAAUGGUUGCUGGGCGUGAUUUCAAGGCGAGUUGCGGGCUAGGAGGAUCCAUUUUUAUUGUGGGCAAGCCAGUCGUCAGUCUGAAAAUGAAUCCGACCUUCUCCGCGUUCUCUUUGCUCACGUGGAGUCCCAGCCUGUGGCGGAGGAGAACUCUGCCUGCGACUUCAGCGCACUUCUCGAGUCAGCUUAUGAAAAAGGAAAUGAUUCUUUCCAAAGGUCAUUUGCACAACUUCCUUUUCUUUCUUGCUCUUUUCUUUUUCUUUUUGUUUUUCCUUAGGGCUAGGAAGCUCCAGUCAGUCCGCUGCGGGGCCUCUGUUUGGUGGCCAUGAGCAAAACCAUUGAUUUUGGCAAAAUCAUAGGCACUUGGACAACUUGUUAUAAGACAAGUAAAGUUGAAGAAAAACUGCUCAGCGAGGUGGAGCUUUUAAAACACCGAAGCUAGGGACUGAGAAGACAGACGAAGGCGCUAGUGAACAAACACGACGAUCUAAGUUCGAUCCUUGGAGCACACAGGAAAGUUGCUCUCUUAUCUAAGAACUGUCAUGAUGGAGAUUAAAAGUCAAAAGUU
rnacentral:lncRNA from 1 species